AAGUCGUAACAAGGUCUCUGUAGGUGAACCUGCGGAGGGAUCAUUAUCGAACGGGGCCUCCGGGCUACCUUCGCUCAAACCUGUGGAUACUAGAUGUGCUUCGGCGCCUCGUGCGUCGAGUCAAUGCAUCCAUGCUUCGUCGUCUGAUUAUAAAUGGAAUUUUAAAACUUUCAAUAAAGGAUCUCUUAGCUCUC
rnacentral:misc_RNA from 1 species